rnacentral:rRNA from 1 species
UACGAAGGGGGCUAGCGUUGCUCGGAAUCACUGGGCGUAAAGCGCACGUAGGCGGCUUGUUAAGUCAGGGGUGAAAUCCUGGAGCUCAACUCCAGAACUGCCUUUGAUACUGGCGAGCUUGAGUUCGGGAGAGGUGAGUGGAACUGCGAGUGUAGAGGUGAAAUUCGUAGAUAUUCGCAAGAACACCAGUGGCGAAGGCGGCUCACUGGCCCGAUAGUGACGCUGAGGUGCGAAAGCGUGGGGAGCAAACAGG